rnacentral:rRNA from 1 species
UGGGGAAUAUUGCGCAAUGGGGGAAACCCUGACGCAGCAACGCCGCGUGAAGGAUGAAGGUUUUCGGAUUGUAAACUUCUUUGAUGAGGGACGAAAAAAAUGACGGUACCUCAAAAACAAGCCACGGCUAACUACGUGCCAGCAGCCGCGGUAAUACGUAGGUGGCGAGCGUUGUCCGGAAUUACUGGGUGUAAAGGGCGUGUAGGCGGGAUAUUAAGUCAGAUGUGAAAUUCUGAGGCUCAACCUCAGAGCUGCAUCUGAAACUGAUGUUCUUGAGUGCUGGAGAGGAUAGUGGAAUUCCUAGUGUAGCGGUGAAAUGCGUAGAUAUUAGGAGGAACACCAGUGGCGAAGGCGGCUAUCUGGACAGUAACUGACGCUGAGGCGCGAAAGCGUGGGGAGC